AGGUACAAAUGAUGUCAAGUGUAAAGACAAGAGAUUGAAGACACCAGGAAAUAUUGAGGCAAGGACCAGGAAUAUUAUUUCCUCAAGGUCACACUGCUAGUAAGAUGUGGUUUCAGGAUUCAACUUCAGGAAAUCUGACUCCAGAACUGUGCUCUAUACUGCUAUUUUGUAUAGUUUGGUACUGCAAUUUCAAAUGUUGGCCUUCGGCUCACAAAAGACCACCAGGGAAAUCUGUAACUAGGCAAUGUUUAUAUAAUAUGGAUUUCUCACUCAUGUGUCCAAGGGAUGGUUUGGUCAGCUCUCAUAAAGGCUUCAUUGAGUUUGGGUCCAUUCCAUUUGUACCAAUUUUGGGCUUUGGUUGAGUGACAGCAGAAACUGGGACCUGUUAUUUUUCAUGAAGGAAAUGGAAGCUUCCAGAGAGAUGGGGUAGAGAAUAUAAAAGAUGAAUUGGAGGGAAAAACAAUUAUCUGAGAAAAUUGAAGGAAGGAAGGAGAGAGGAA